rnacentral:rRNA from 1 species
UACGGAGGGUGCGAGCGUUAUCCGGAUUCACUGGGUUUAAAGGGUGCGUAGGCGGGUAUGUAAGUCAGUGGUGAAAGCCUUCAGCUUAACUGGAGAACUGCCAUUGAUACUAUAUAUCUUGAAUACUUUGGAGGUUUGCGGAAUAGGUCAUGUAGCGGUGAAAUGCAUAGAUAUGACCUAGAACACCUAUUGCGAAGGCAGCAAACUACACAGUGAUUGACGCUGAGGCACGAAAGCGUGGGGAGCAAACAGG